rnacentral:misc_RNA from 1 species
ACAAACUUGGUCAUUUAGAGGAAGUAAAAGUCGUAACAAGGUCUCCGUUGGUGAACCAGCGGAGGGAUCAUUACCGAGUUUACAACUCCCAAACCCCCUGUGAACUUAUACCAUUACUGUUGCUUCGGCGGGUUAUUGCCCCGGGGAAAGGACCAGGUGCCGUCAAGGUUCCCUGCCCGCCCCCGGAAACAGGCGCCUGCCGGGGGACUCAAACUCUUCUGUAUUUUUUAUUUUACUGUUAUACUGUCUGAGUAAAAAACUAUAAAUGAAUCAAAACUUUCAACAACGGAUCUCUUGGUUCUGGCAUCGAUGAAGAACGCAGC